GUGUUCCCUGACCACAGUGAGUUUACAGUCUAGAGGGGAAUAGUACAGCUAUCUGUUGGCUAAUUUCAAGCUGCAUCUAUUGUAUGUGUUCUGUAUUUAUUAAUGUUUAAUUUGCUUUUGUGUAGGUAAUGGUGUCCUUUUAAACUGGAAACACCUCUGGCAGGACCAAGAGUGAAUGGUACUGCACAUAUCAGCACUAUAAUUAGUCCUUCAUGUCACGCCGCUUCUGGAGUCAGAAAAGUUUCCCUUAAACUUCGUUUUGAUUGCCAGCCUGCAGUCCUGAAGGAUCCAUCAGAUGGGCCAUCAAUGAAUCAAGAUGACUCAAUCCUGUUAGUUUCAGGAGAAAUCCUUUCACACCCAGGAGUCGGCUGAGAAUUGCAGCCCGAAUUACAGUGUAAGAGUUAUGGUUACAUCACCAUCUUCGCAGCCUCCACUGACUCUUUGAUCUCUUCCCCAGGGGCAGCCGGGAGGAAAGAAAACUAAGAUCUGGAGAGGAUUCCUGGGCUGGUGAAGUCCUGAUUGCCAGUCAAACCCAGAGGAGCUCCUAUUUUCUUUUAUAGUCUUUGUUAAUAUCUAGCACUAUUCUAAGCACUGGGGUAGGUGCAAAUUUAUCAGCUCUUGCAAUUGGA